UACGUAGGGCGCAAGCGUUGUCCGGAAUUAUUGGGCGUAAAGAGCUCGUAGGCGGUUUGUCGCGUCUGCUGUGAAAACCUAAGGCUCAACCUUGGGCUUGCAGUGGGUACGGGCAGACUAGAGUGCGGUAGGGGUGACUGGAAUUCCUGGUGUAGCGGUGGAAUGCGCAGAUAUCAGGAGGAACACCGAUGGCGAAGGCAGGUCUGCUGGGCCACUACUGACGCUGAGAAGCGAAAGCAUGGGGAGCGAACAGG
rnacentral:rRNA from 1 species